rnacentral:lncRNA from 1 species
CUAGUUCGAAUUUUAGACCACUAAUUAAGUUGGAGUAGAUGCGCUCAAUCUCCGAAUGAUUUUGGGGUUCUAUUUUUAGGUAAGUAGUUAAUUGGCAGCUCAACUGAAUUAAAAUGAAGAUUCGUCAUCUUGANNNNNNNNNNNNNNNNNNNNNNNNNNNNNNNNNNNNUCGUGCAAUUUGUCUUUGUUUUUUGUUCGUGUUCUCUUCUCUUUGAUUCAUUAGGUGAAUUUGUCUCUGAGUUUAUUUGUUCCUAAAAUAAACAUGGAAGGGAAAUGUUUGAUUUCACGAAACUGAACAUCACGACAAUCUCCCGAAACUUACCAAUGCGUAUCUUAUAUCCAUUGUACUUGUACUCCAAAGUAUAACUUUUUGUGUUUUUCUUAAAAUAAGUUUUACAGGAAGAUGUAAAAAGAACUUUUAUUGAUUAUUCAUUAUGGGAAAAAAAUAGAGAGUAAAUUAAAUGCAAUUUACAUUAAAUUUCAGAGAAUAAGUAAAAAUAAAUCUUAAAAUUAUAAAAGUUAGUUGUUUUUACUUAUAAUUUGGGACAAUAAAAAAUGAUAUUUUUUCCUUAUAAUAUGGGACGGAUGAAGUACUUUUUAAACAUUAAAUUCUUUUUUAUUAUUACAAGUUAAUUUCUAAUUUUAGAUACCUUAACAUGUCCCAUAAAGACACAUGUUAACAUGACGUUUUUUCAAGUUUGAGCCCCACUAUAACUUUGAAAGGAGGUAAUGGUCCAAACAUUUAU